GGAGUUGGCUUGGCAAUCGCUUGAAGGUUAACUUUGCUAACCAUUUUGGUUGGUAUAGGUGCUUUUAAGAGGAAAGUCCGGGCUCCAUAGGGUAGAACGCCAGGUAACACCUGGGGGGCGCGAGCCUACGGAAAGUGCAGCAGAAAAUAUACCGCCUUAGCUUGCUGGGGUAAGGGUGAAAUGGUGCGGUAAGAGCGCACCGCGCAACUGGUAACAGUUUGUGGCAUGGUAAACCCCGUUCGGAGCAAGAUCAAAUAGGGAUCCUACUGCUUUAUGCAAAA
rnacentral:RNase_P_RNA from 1 species